GAUCCUGGCUCAGGAUGAACGCUAGCGACAGGCUUAACACAUGCAAGUCGAGGGGCAGCGGGGGUAGCAAUACCCGCCGGCGACCGGCGCACGGGUGAGUAACGCGUAUGCAACUUACCUAUCAGAGGGGGAUAACCCGGCGAAAGUCGGACUAAUACCGCAUGAAGCAGGGCCCCGCAUGGGGAUAUUUGCUAAAGAUUCAUCGCUGAUAGAUAGGCAUGCGUUCCAUUAGGCAG
rnacentral:rRNA from 1 species